rnacentral:misc_RNA from 1 species
UGUAGGCGAAAGCUGGCUUGAACUGCUGCUGCAUCAAAAAACUUUAAUUCAAAGGAGCCUAACUAAGCUCAACCACUAAAACCAAAUUCUCAACGAUGGAUAUCUUGGUUCCCAUAACGAUGAAGAACGCAGCGAAGUGCGAUAAGCAAUGCGAAUUGCAGAACCGUGAGUCAUCAGAUCUUUGAACGCAACUGGCGCCUAUUGGAAUCCCGGUAGGCAUGCUUGUUUCAGUGUCUCUUUCUCUCAUCACCUAUAUCUUAAUGCUUGAGAUACCCUUCUCUUGCUAAACAUGAAAGCACUCUACACUCUGCGAGCAGCUUCACUUGUUGGAGCUUGCACUCAAUGCAGCAGUCACAUUGCUCACAAUGUGAACUCAUUGAGAGCGGAGGUAGCGCAGCCUAGCUGUAAGUGCUUAGA